rnacentral:ncRNA from 1 species
UUUUCGCACUCUGGAGAGCGGCAGUAGCGCAGAUGCACGAAUGCAUGCGCAGGCUGCCCACCGAAGGGGCGCGCGCCUCGUCCGCCAGCACUCGCUGACGGCAGCGCAAUCUCUCAGGUAUCGAGGACAGAGGGGGCAUG